rnacentral:rRNA from 1 species
AGAGUUUGAUCCUGGCUCAGAUUGAACGCUGGCGGCAUGCCUAACACAUGCAAGUCGGACGGCAGCACAGCAGUAGCAAUACUGUGGGUGGCGAGUGGCGGACGGGUGAGGAAUACAUCGGGACCUGCCCAGACGUGGGGGAUAACGUAGGGAAACUUACGCUAAUACCGCAUACGUCCUACGGGAGAAAGCGGGGGAUCGAAAGACCUCGCGCGGUUGGAUGGACCGAUGUUCGAUUAGCUAGUUGGUAGGGUAAAGGCCUACCAAGGCGACGAUCGAUAGCUGGUCUGAGAGGAUGAUCAGCCACACUGGGACUGAGACACGGCCCAGACUCCUACGGGAGGCAGCAGUGGGGAAUAUUGGACAAUGGGCGCAAGCCUGAUCCAGCAAUGCCGCGUGUGUGAAGAAGGCCUUCGGGUUGUAAAGCACUUUUAUCAGGAGCGAAAUACCACGGGUUAAUACCCUAUGGGGCUGACGGUACCUGAGGAAUAAGCACCGGCUAACUUCGUGCCAGCAGCCGCGGUAAUACGAAGGGUGCAAGCGUUAAUCGGAAUUACUGGGCGUAAAGCGUGCGUAGGCGGUUAUUUAAGUCUGCUGUGAAAUCCCCGGGCUCAACCUGGGAAUGGCAGUGGAUACUGGAUAGCUAGAGUGUGAUAGAGGAUGGUGGAAUUCCCGGUGUAGCGGUGAAAUGCGUAGAGAUCGGGAGGAACAUCAGUGGCGAAGGCGGCCAUCUGGAUCAACACUGACGCUGAGGCACGAAAGCGUGGGGAGCAAACAGGAUUAGAUACCCUAGUAGUCC